GUAGUCAGUGGGAGCUGAACUUAACUGACAUUGUCUUUAUGUUUACCUUUAUGUUUACCCCUUCCUCCCUCACUGCUCCAUGUGCAUCCCUCACGAAGCUGCAUGCUGGGUGGAAGAGGACGGCCAUCCCAGAUAGAAGGAGUGUACUGCAGGCUUUGUGGGUCUAGUGCACUCCAGUUGUUUUGGAACAUGUCUCUUGUUCCAGCUGAGGCUGAUGGGGACUGUAGUU
rnacentral:sRNA from 1 species